rnacentral:rRNA from 1 species
AUUGAACGCUGGCGGCAGGCCUAACACAUGCAAGUCGAGCGGAUGAAGGGAGCUCGCUCCUGGAUUCAGCGGCGGACGGGUGAGUAAUGCCUAGGAAUCUGCCUGGUAGUGGGGGAUAACGUCCGGAAACGGGCGCUAAUACCGCAUACGUCCUGAGGUAGAAAGUGGGGGAUCUUCGGACCUCACGCUAUCAGAUGAGCCUAGGUCGGAUUAGCUAGUUGGUGGGGUAAAGGCCUACCAAGGCGACGAUCCGUAACUGGUCUGAGAGGAUGAUCAGUCACACUGGAACUGAGACACGGUCCAGACUCCUACGGGAGGCAGCAGUGGGGAAUAUUGGACAAUGGGCGAAAGCCUGAUCGAGCAAUGCCGCGUGUGUGAAGAAGGUCUUCGGAUUGUAAAGCACUUUAAGUUGGGAGGAAGGGAAGUAAGUUAAUACCUUGCUGUUUUGACGUUACCAAAAGAAAAAGCACCGGCUAACUUCGUG